rfam:Ashbya gossypii ATCC 10895 chromosome VI, complete sequence.
UCUGCGUCUAGGAUGAUACACUUACCACAAAAGCAUAGUUCAACUGACUACCAUGAAGAUAAAAAUUCCAUCGAAUUUAGUCUUUCGCUCCUAUCUGAGACGCGGC